AUGAACGCUGGCGGCGUGCUUCACACAUGCAAGUCGAACGGUGAAGCAGAGCUUGCUCUGUGGAUCAGUGGCGAACGGGUGAGUAACACGUGAGCAACCUGCCCCUGACUCUGGGAUAAGCGCUGGAAACGGCGUCUAAUACUGGAUAUGAGCUGCGACCGCAUGGUCAGCAGUUGGAAAGAUUUUUCGGUCUGGGAUGGGCUCACGGCCUAUCAGCUUGUUGGUGAGGUAAUGGCUCACCAAGGCGUCGACGGGUAGCCGGCCUGAGAGGGUGACCGGCCACACUGGGACUGAGACACGGCCCAGACUCCUACGGGAGGCAGCAGUGGGGAAUAUUGCACAAUGGGCGAAAGCCUGAUGCAGCAACGCCGCGUGGGGGAUGGCGGCCUUCGGGUUGUAAACCUCUUUUAGCAGGGAAGAAGCGAAAGUGACGGUACCUGCAGAAAAAGCGCCGGCUAACUACGUG
rnacentral:rRNA from 1 species